AAAAAUCCAACUUCAUUUUUCAAAGUUCAAAGAAGGGGAAUUGCUUAAUUUGUUUUUUUUUUAAUCCCAUUUUCUUUCUACUAAAUCUCUUUUCUUGAAUGAAUGUCCACGUUUCAAAAAAGGUUGCAGUAAGAGCGGGAUGCAGGAAAAUCCAAAUAUUCAAAUAGGAGAGAGAGAAAAAUGUGAUAAUUUAUUUCCAAUGCAGAAGAAUGUUAGUUUUAUUCCAUUUGUACACAAUGUUAACAUUUAUUUGUGAUGUGAUUGUGUUAAUAAAUGUGUAUAAUUACAGCUUUGUAAACAUUUGAAGUAAAGUGCUUAAAAUUUU
rnacentral:sRNA from 1 species